rnacentral:rRNA from 1 species
AGCGAACGCUGGCGGCGUACUUAACACAUGCAAGUCGAACGGGGAUCAUCAGUGUAGCAAUACAUCGGUGGUCCUAGUGGCGCACGGGUGAGUAACACGUGGGUAACCUGCCCUUGAGUUCGGGAUACCCCCUCGAAAGGGGGGCUAAUACCGGAUACGUUCCUCGGAUCGACAGGUCUGGGGAGGAAAGGUGGCGCAAGCUGCCGCUCUUGGAGGGGCUCGCGGCCUAUCAGCUAGUUGGCGGGGUAACGGCCCACCAAGGCUAUGACG